GGAGUGGCAAGCCCUAGGAGAGGCUCUGAUGGUACAUGUUUGUCAUCGAGGUUUCAGAAAGCAACUUUAGAAAGCAAAGCAGCAGUCAGCUGGCAGCCAGGACAGCAGGGAAGGAAGGGAGCGGCCAUUGGGCUCAGCCCAAGGACUCUUCUUUAAUGGCUCCCUUUCUGGGUUUUCAUUGUGCUAACCCAGAUAGGGACCAUCUUCUCAGCACAGUGGGCUUCUCUUGCCACGUGUUUCUCUCAGACAAGAGGAAUUCUCCAAGAGGCUCCUCCAUAGCGGGAAGCCCUGGCUGCAGCCAGCCUUCCAGGAACAGAGGCCAGAUAUGCCUGAGCUACACCCGGAUCUGGACCUGGCACACAAGUCACAGCAAGGACCAAAGGAAGAAGGCACUGGAAUCCAGGUUUGUUCCAGUCUAUGGCUGUAGGACCGUGAUGAUGAUGUUGCCUGACUUAUCUUCAAAAAGGCAACACUGAACCUACACACCCUCACAUAGAACUCAGAAGGAACAGCUGUCUGACCAGUGCCAGUGUCUCUUAGAGGACCGUGAGAGGCCAGUGAAGGCCUGAGCAGAUGGGAGUCGAGAUGGCCGACCGGCAAGUGUCUGCUAGAGUCCUGCCACCUGGCACUCUUCCCACAGUCUGGAGGUGGUGUGUGCGGCUGGUGAUCUGAUUCCCACUCGAGGCAGCAGGCCUUCUCCUCAUCUCUGAUUCUCUGACAGCCCAGGCAGAUCUCUUGCUUUGGCUUUUUAAAAUCCAGGACACAUUUUCCCUCAAAGUCACCAACUUCCAGCUGCCAGGGAGCUGGCCGUUCCCUCUGCUGCCCCACCGCUACCAUUAUGUCUCCACAUCCAGAGAAACAGAAGGCCUUCCUUCGUGUGGGCAAGCCCACAAGAGUUCAGAGUCUGCAUUUGGGUCUUGGGACAGAGGGAAGGAUUCACAAGAGCUGGCCAGGAGCCAUGCCACUAUCCCGGCACU
ensembl:lncRNA